UACGUAGGGGGCAAGCGUUGUCCGGAUUUAUUGGGCGUAAAGAGCGUGUAGGCGGCCAGACAGGUCCGUUGUGAAAACUCGAGGCUCAACCUCGAGAUGUCGAUGGAAACCGUCUGGCUAGAGUCCGGAAGAGGAGUGUGGAAUUCCUGGUGUAGCGGUGAAAUGCGCAGAUAUCAGGAAGAACACCUAUGGCGAAGGCAGCACUCUGGGACGGUACUG
rnacentral:rRNA from 1 species